rnacentral:rRNA from 1 species
AUUGAACGCUGGCGGCGUGCUUAACACAUGCAAGUCGUGCGGUAACAGGCGUAGCAAUACGUGCUGACGAGCGGCGAACGGGUGCGUAAUACAUGGGAAUCUGCCUUUUAGUGGGGAAUAACCCGGCGAAAGCCGGGCUAAUGCCGCAUAAGAUCUUCGGAUGAAAGCGGGGGAUCGUAAGACCUCGCGCUGAUAGAUGAGCCCAUGCCGGAUUAGCAGUUGGUGAGGUAACGGCUCACCAAGGCGACGAUCCGUAGCUGGUCUGAGAGGACGGCCAGCCACACUGGGACUGAGACACGGCCCAGACUCCUACGGGAGGCAGCAGUGGGGAAUAUUGGACAAUGGGGAAACCCUGAUCCAGCGACGCCGCGUGUGUGAAGAAGGCCUGCGGGUUGUAAAGC